UGGGGAAUUUUGCGCAAUGGGCGAAAGCCUGACGCAGCAAUACCGCGUGAGUGAUGAAGGCUCUUGGGUCGUAAAGCUCUGUCAGAGGGGAAGAACCUCCUGUCGUCUAAUACGCGGCAGGCCUGACGGUACCCUCAGAGGAAGCACCGGCUAACUCCGUGCCAGCAGCCGCGGUAAUACGGAGGGUGCAAACGUUGUUCGGAAUUAUUGGGCGUAAAGAGCAUGUAGGCGGCUCGUCAAGUCUGAUGUGAAAGCCCUGGGCUCAACCCAGGAAGUGCAUUGGAAACUGGCGAACUUGAGUACGGGAGAGGAAAGUGGAAUUUCGAGUGUAGGGGUGAAAUCCGUAGAUAUUCGAAGGAACACCAGUGGCGAAGGCGGCUUUCUGGACCGAUACUGACGCUGAGAUGCGAAAGCGUGGGGAGCAAACA
rnacentral:rRNA from 1 species